rnacentral:tRNA from 1 species
ACAGUAGCUCAGUUGGUGAGAGCGCACGGCUCAUACCCGUGAGGUCGACGGUUCGAAUCCAUCCUGUG